UACGAAGGGGGCUAGCGUUGUUCGGAAUCAUUGGGCGUAAAGAGCGUGUAGGCGGCCCGGUAAGUCCGCUGUGAAAGUCGGGGGCUCAACCCUCGAAUGCCGGUGGAUACUGUCGGGCUAGAGUGCGGAAGAGGCGAGUGGAAUUCCUGGUGUAGCGGUGAAAUGCGCAGAUAUCAGGAGGAACACCAAUUGCGAAGGCAGCUCGCUGGGACGUAACUGACGCUGAGACGCGAAAGCGUGGGGAGCAAACAGG
rnacentral:rRNA from 1 species